rnacentral:lncRNA from 1 species
CCAAAUUAGUUUGUAAGAUAUGGAGAUACUGCUUGGUCUAUGGCCUCUCUCUAUCUUACACAGAAGUAUUUGCAUGUUCCUUCAAAUUUUGACUGAAGUGUACACAUUUUUCUGAAAACAGAUCAGACCUCUCUGGAGGCAUUACUUCCAGAACACACAGGGUCUUAUCUUCGUUGUGGACAGCAAUGACCGUGACCGUGUUGUUGAAGCCAGGGAUGAGCUCCACAGGAUGCUGAACGAGGUAAAACAUUUCCCAGGCCAUUUUACCAUGCUGUCUAAGUGCUGCAGAAAGGCAAUUUACGAAUAUCUUAAUGGAUUUGAUGUGGUAUUUGCAUUUUAUUGACAACAAAACCUUUUAGUUAGGAGUAACUGUCAUUUUAACAAAUCACUCUGAGAAGAGUAAUACUAGUUGUUUCUUUAUAUUGUUUUACCUCUUAUUUCAACUUCCAUACAACACUUGUCUGCAAAAUAAGCCAGAGAGGAUCUGGUCCUAUCUUAAAACAAAAAAAAUGGUCAUUUAUUUAUUUUUUGAUUGAUUAGGGAAAUCCCUGUAUCCUCUUUUGAUAUUCUGUCUGGAAAAUAUGUUAGUAGUUCAUUCCAUUUUGCAAAUCCAUUUUGUGGCAGUAUUAAGUGAAAUCCAUUUGGUACUCUGAUGGCAGGAUGAGCUACGUGAUGCUGUGCUGCUUGUUUUUGCCAACAAGCAAGAUCUGCCCAACGCUAUGAAUGCUGCUGAGAUCACUGACAAGCUUGGAUUACACUCCCUGCGCCAGCGACACUGGUAAAUGAUCAAUGAUUAUCUGCUUCAGUACAUUUGCAUCUGUGUAGCUAAUAUUCUGUGACUUCAUAUUGACAUGUGAUCAGCAUUAGGUGUGAAUCACCACUUUCUGUGAAUCCUUUAGUUCUUAUUACUGUGUUCUUGCUUACAGGUACAUCCAGAGCACUUGUGCCACAACUGGCGAGGGUCUGUACGAGGGUCUGGACUGGCUGUCCAGCAACAUUGCUAGCAAGGUAUUCAUACUUUGUGAUUUCCUGUCAGUGAUUCAGUCACAAGUAUACUAUGUGAUCGAUCUGUAGAUAAUCCAUAUGUGUUUAGCCCAUUUUGUUAUGCUACCAGGAGCAAAUAGUCUAUCUGAAAUUCCUGUUCACUGUAUGUUGGCCUAAUACCAUUUCCCUCCCUUUCUGCAUCUGUAGGCUUGAGGGGCCUGGCUUUGGAUAUCAACUGCGAACUGACUAGGAGCUCCGGAUGUAUCAUGGAAACUUAGGACAGAAUCGCUUCUGCAACCUAUU